AGAGUUUGAUCCUGGCUCAGGACGAACGCUGGCGGCGCGCCUAACACAUGCAAGUCGAACGAGCGAGAGAGAGCUUGCUUUCUCAAGCGAGUGGCGAACGGGUGAGUAACGCGUGAGGAACCUGCCUCAAAGAGGGGGACAACAGUUGGAAACGACUGCUAAUACCGCAUAAGCCCACGACCCGGCAUCGGGUAGAGGGAAAAGGAGCAAUCCGCUUUGAGAUGGCCUCGCGUCCGAUUAGCUAGUUGGUGAGGUAACGGCCCACCAAGGCGACGAUCGGUAGCCGGACUGAGAGGUUGAACGGCCACAUUGGGACUGAGACACGGCCCAGACUCCUACGGGAGGCAGCAGUGGGGAAUAUUGCACAAUGGGGGAAACCCUGAUGCAGCGACGCCGCGUGGAGGAAGAAGGUCUUCGGAUUGUAAACUCCUGUUGUUGAGGAAGAUAAUGACGGUACUCAACAAGGAAGUGACGGCUAACUACGUGCCAGCAGCCGCGGUAAAACGUAGGUCACAAGCGUUGUCCGGAAUUACUGGGUGUAAAGGGAGCGCAGGCGGGAAGACAAGUUGGAAGUGAAAUCCAUGGGCUCAACCCAUGAACUGCUUUCAAAACUGUUUUUCUUGAGUAGUGCAGAGGUAGGCGGAAUUCCCGGUGUAGCGGUGGAAUGCGUAGAUAUCGGGAGGAACACCAGUGGCGAAGGCGGCCUACUGGGCACCAACUGACGCUGAGGCUCGAAAGUGUGGGUAGCAAACAGGAUUAGAUACCCUGGUAGUCCACACUGUAAACGAUGAUUACUAGGU
rnacentral:rRNA from 1 species